GAUGAACGCUGGCGGCGUGCCUAAUACAUGCAAGUCGAGCGAACAGACGAGGAGCUUGCUCCUCUGACGUUAGCGGCGGACGGGUGAGUAACACGUGGAUAACCUACCUAUAAGACUGGGAUAAAUUCGGGAAACCGGAGCUAAUACCGGAUAAUAUAUUGAACCGCAUGGUUCAAUAGUGAAAGACGGUUUUGCUGUCACUUAUAGAUGGAUCCGCGCCGCAUUAGCUAGUUGGUAAGGUAACGGCUUACCAAGGCAACGAUGCGUAGCCGACCUGAGAGGGUGAUCGGCCACACUGGAACUGAGACACGGUCCAGACUCCUACGGGAGGCAGCAGUAGGGAAUCUUCCGCAAUGGGCGAAAGCCUGACGGAGCAACGCCGCGUGAAUGAUGAAGGUCUUCGGAUCGUAAAACUCUGUUAUUAGGGAAGAACAAAUGUGUAAGUAACUAUGCACGUCUUGACGGUACCUAAUCAGAAAGCCACGGCUAACUACGUG
rnacentral:rRNA from 1 species